rnacentral:rRNA from 1 species
AUACGUAGGGGGCGAGCGUUGUCCGGAAUGAUUGGGCGUAAAGGGCGCGUAGGCGGCCUGUUAAGUCUGGAGUGAAAGUCCUGUUUUCAAGAUGGGAAUUGCUUUGGAUACUGAUGGGCUUGAGUGCAGGAGAGGUAAGUGGAAUUCCCAGUGUAGCGGUGAAAUGCGUAGAGAUUGGGAGGAACACCAGUGGCGAAGGCGACUUACUGGACUGUAACUGACGCUGAGGCGCGAAAGUGUGGGGAGCAAACAGGAUUAGAUACCCUGGUAGUCCACACCGUAAACGAUGAAUGCUAGGUGUAGGGGGUAUCGACCCCUUCUGUGCCGCAGUCAACACAAUAAGCAUUCCGCCUGGGGAGUACGGCCGCAAGGUUGAAACUCAAAUGAAUUGACGGGG